rnacentral:rRNA from 1 species
CCCUUAGACGUUCUGGGCCGCACGCGCGCUACACUGAACAGUUCAACAAGUCUUAACCUUGGCCGAUAGGUCUGGGUAAUCUUUGAACGCUGUUCGUGAUUGGGAUAGACCUUUGCAAUUAUGGGUCUUCAACGAGGAAUUCCUAGUAAACGCAAGUCAUCAGCUUGCAUUGAUUACGUCCCUGCCCUUUGUACACACCGCCCGUCGCACCUACCGAUUGAAUGGUCCGGUGAAAUCUCGGGACGGCGGCUUGGUCGCUUGCGUCCGACUGCUGAAACUUGAUUAAACCAUAUCAUUUAGAGGAAGGUGAAGUCGUANCA